rnacentral:rRNA from 1 species
UAGAGUUUGAUCCUGGCUCAGGACGAACGCUGGCGGCGUGCCUAAUACAUGCAAGUCGAGCGGCGCCUUCGGGCGCAGCGGCGGACGGGUGAGGAACACGUGAGUAACCGGGCGUCCGGUGGGGGAUAUCGGGCCGAAAGGCGCGGCAAUCCCGCAUAGCGUCCCGCGUGCGCAAGCAGGCGGGGGAAAGGCCUUCGGGCCGCCGGAUGGGGGGCUCGCGGCCCAUUAGCUAGUUGGGGGGGUAACGGCCUCCCAAGGCGACGAUGGGUAGCCGGCCUGAGAGGGUGAUCGGCCACACUGGGACUGAGACACGGCCCAGACUCCUACGGGAGGCAGCAGUAGGGAAUCUUCCACAAUGGGCGCAAGCCUGAUGGAGCAACGCCGCGUGAGUGAAGACGGCCUUCGGGUUGUAAAGCUCUGUCUGUCGGGACGAGGACCCGGGUGCAAACCCGGGGGGGACGGUACCGGCGGAGGAAGCCCCUGCAAACUACGUGCCAGCAGCCGCGGUAAUA